rnacentral:rRNA from 1 species
UUGGAGGGCAAGUCUGGUGCCAGCAGCCGCGGUAAUUCCAGCUCCAAUAGCGUAUAUUAAAGUUGUUGCAGUUAAAAAGCUCGUAGUUGAAUUUCGGGGUCAGUAGGUUGGUCAUGCCACAGGUAUGUACUGGUCUCACUGAUUCCUCCUUCCUGAUGAACUGUAAUGCCAUUAAUUUGGUGUUGCAGGAAAUCUGGACUGUUACUUUGAAAAAAUUAGAGUGUUUAAAGCAAGCUAACGCUUGAAUACAUUAGCAUGGAAUAAUGAAAUAGGACGUUCGAUCCUAUUUUGUUGGUUUCUAGGAUUGACGUAAUGAUUAAUAGGGAUAGUUGGGGGCAUUAGUAUUCAAUUGUCAGAGGUGAAAUUCUUGGAUUUAUUGAAGACUAACUACUGCGAAAGCAUUUGCCAAGGAUGUUUUCAUUAAUCAAGAACGAAAGUUAGGGGAUCGAAGACGAUCAGAUACCGUCGUAGUCUUAACCAUAAACUAUGCCGACUAGGGAUCGGAUGAUGUUAAUUUUUUAAUGACUCAUUCGGCGCCUUACGGGAAAC